rnacentral:hammerhead_ribozyme from 1 species
AUCCAGCUGACGAGUCCCAACUGGGACGAAAUGCGCGUCUUGGAU